AACAACAACAGUCACUUCCAGUUUGCUCGUUUUGUGCCACGCUGUCAGCUAGCUACAUUGCUGCUCCGCGAGAGGUUAACACACCCCAACAGGUGAUGGAGAGCAUCACCUGUAACCUUAUCCUCGGGAAAAAAAGAUAACAGGUGGUGGAAGGAAACACAGAAAUACUCAAAGGUUGGAUAAUGAUCACUCCGCCAGUCGACGGAGAGGAAAAAAUAGAUCCGUGAACGAGGCGGAAGAACACCUAAGGUGGGUUAACAGCACUUCUUAAAUGGGGUGACCAAAAUACUUGUCAGUUGCGAAGUACACCUGCACAAAGCCAAGAUAAAGGUCAUUUGUGGGAAUAAAACUCUUGAGUGGGAAAAUGGAGAGAGGAAGGACCAAGCCUGUGCUGCACUCAGAGAGCUCUGCCAACUAUGAAACCAUGCACGACUUCUGCAGAAAAGCAACCAAAAAAGUGCUAAUGGUCUCAAAGAAUGCAGACAAAAGUCAGCAAA